GUGCCAGCCGCCGCGGUAAUACGAAUGGGGCAAGCGUUGUUCGGAAUCACUGGGCGUAAAGCGUGUGUAGGCGGUUUAACAAGUCAGGAGUGAAAUCCCAGGGCUCAACCCUGGAAUUGCUCUUGAAACUGUUAAGCUAGAGUCCCGGAGAGGUUAGCAGAAUUCCGAGUGUAGAGGUGAAAUUCGCAGAUAUUCGGAGGAAUACCAGUGGCGUAAGCGGCUAACUGGACGGGCACUGACGCUGAGACACGAAAGCGUGGGGAUCAAACAGGAUUAGAUACCCUGGUAGUCCACGCUGUAAACGAUGUAUGUUAGUUGUCGGGAGGUUUACCUUUCGGCGACGAAGCUAACGCAUUAAACAUACCGCCUGGGGAGUACGGUCGCAAGAUUAAAACUCAAAGGAAUUGACGGGGACCCGCACAAGCGGUGGAGCAUGUUGUUUAAUUCGAAGCAACGCGAAGAACCUUACCUACACUUGACAUGCCUCUUAUGGAUUUCAGAGAUGAUUUCCUUCGGUUCGGCCGGGGAGUGCACAGGUGCUGCAUGGCUGUCGUCAGCUCGUGUCGUGAGAUGUUGGGUUAAGUCCCGCAACGAGCGCAACCCCUAUUGUUAGUUGCUACCAGGUUAUGCUGAGCACUCUAGCGAGACUGCCCGUGAUAAGCGGGAGGAAGGCGGGGAUGACGUCAAGUCAUCAUGGCCCUUACGUGUAGGGCUACAAACGUGCUACAAUGGUAGUGACAGUGGGCUGCGAGGCUGCAAAGCCAAGCCAAUCCCAAAAAGCUAUCUCAGUUCGGAUUGUCCUCUGCAACUCGAGGGCAUGAAGUUGGAAUCGCUAGUAAUCGUGGAUCAGCAUGCCACGGUGAAUACGUUCCCGGGUCUUGCACACACCGCCCGUC
rnacentral:rRNA from 1 species